AUUUAAUUAAUAUAUAUAUAAACCUUGUAAAAAAUGGUACAGACAAGGGGAAUCCGAUUGUUUAAUUAAAACAAAGCAUUGUGAUGGUCCCUGUGGAUGUUGACGCAAUGUGAUUUAUGCCCAGUGUUGUUCAUGUCAAAGUGAAUAAAUUCAACCAAGCGUAGGUAAAUGACAAGAGUAACUAUGACUCUCUUAAGGUAUCCAAAUGCCUUGGCAUCUAAUUAGUGACGUGCAUGAAUGGAUUAAAGAGAUUCCCGCUAUCCCUAGCUACUAUCUGUAGAAACUACAACCAAGGGAACAUGCUUGGAAGAAUUAGUAGGGAAAGAAGACCCUGUUAAGCUUGACUCUAGUCUAAAUUUGUGAAAUGAAUUGAGAGGUGUAGAAUAUGUGGGAGUUGUUUUCAGCACAAGUGAAAUACCACUAAUGUUAGCAUUAUUUUACUUAUUCCAUUGGGUGGAUAUGGGGAAUUGCACAUAUGUUAAAAUAUAACACACAUUUCCUCAAAGUGUUUUCAUUGAUAGCAAUGGUCGAGAGAUCAUUCUUCACACACUUUAUGGCAAUGAGAUUAGGAAACCAAAGAGGAUCAUUUCUUUUAAGGACGAAGAAAUUUCCUACAAUCCAUAUGU
rfam:Picea glauca, whole genome shotgun sequence.